AUUGAACGCUGGCGGCAGGCCUAACACAUGCAAGUCGAACGGUAACAGGAAGAAGCUUGCUUCUUUGCUGACGAGUGGCGGACGGGUGAGUAAUGUCUGGGAAACUGCCUGAUGGAGGGGGAUAACUACUGGAAACGGUAGCUAAUACCGCAUAACGUCGCAAGACCAAAGAGGGGGACCUUCGGGCCUCUUGCCAUCGGAUGUGCCCAGAUGGGUUUAGCUUGUUGGUGGGGUAACGGCUCACCAAGGCGACGAUCCCUAGCUGGUCUGAGAGGAUGACCAGCCACACUGGAACUGAGACACGGUCCAGACUCCUACGGGAGGCAGCAGUGGGGAAUAUUGCACAAUGGGCGCAAGCCUGAUGCAGCCAUGCCGCGUGUAUGAAGAAGGCCUUCGGGUUGUAAAGUACUUUCAGCGGGGAGGAAGGGAGUAAAGUUAAUACCUUUGCUCAUUGACGUUACCCGCAGAAGAAGCACCGGCUAACUCCGUG
rnacentral:rRNA from 1 species